AAUAUUGGACAAUGGGCGAAAGCCUGAUCCAGCCAUGCCGCGUGUGUGAAGAAGGCCUUCGGAUUGUAAAGCACUUUAUGUUGGGGGGAAGGGGUUGAAGCUAAUACCUUCAAUCUUGUACGUUACCAACAGAAUACGCACCGGCUCAUUCUGUGCCAGCAGCCGCGGUAAUACAGAGGGUGCAAGCGUUAAUCGGAAUUACUGGGCGUAAAGGGCGCGUAGGUGGUUCAGUAAGAUGGAAGUGAAAUCCCCGGGCUUAACCUGGGAACUGCUUUCAUAACUGAUGAGCUAGAGUACGGUAGAGGGUAGUGGAAUUUCCUGUGUAGCGGUGAAAUGCGUAGAUAUAGGAAGGAACACCAGUGGCGAAGGCGACUACCUGGACUGAUACUGACACUGAGGUGCGAAAGCGUGGGGAGCAAACAGG
rnacentral:rRNA from 1 species